rnacentral:rRNA from 1 species
ACUUAAAUUGAAGAGUUUGAUCAUGGCUCAGAUUGAACGCUGGCGGCAGGCCUAACACAUGCAAGUCGAGCGGUAGCACAGAGAGCUUGCUCUCGGGUGACGAGCGGCGGACGGGUGAGUAAUGUCUGGGAAACUGCCUGAUGGAGGGGGAUAACUACUGGAAACGGUAGCUAAUACCGCAUAAUGUCGCAAGACCAAAGUGGGGGACCUUCGGGCCUCAUGCCAUCAGAUGUGCCCAGAUGGGAUUAGCUAGUAGGUGGGGUAACGGCUCACCUAGGCGACGAUCCCUAGCUGGUCUGAGAGGAUGACCAGCCACACUGGAACUGAGACACGGUCCAGACUCCUACGGGAGGCAGCAGUGGGGAAUAUUGCACAAUGGGCGCAAGCCUGAUGCAGCCAUGCCGCGUGUGUGAAGAAGGCCUUCGGGUUGUAAAGCACUUUCAGCGGGGAGGAAGGCGUUAAGGUUAAUAACCUUGGCGAUUGACGUUACCCGCAGAAGAAGCACCGGCUAACUCCGUGCCAGCAGCCGCGGUAAUACGGAGGGUGCAAGCGUUAAUCGGAAUUACUGGGCGUAAAGCGCACGCAGGCGGUCUGUCAAGUCGGAUGUGAAAUCCCCGGGCUCAACCUGGGAACUGCAUUCGAAACUGGCAGGCUAGAGUCUUGUAGAGGGGGGUAGAAUUCCAGGUGUAGCGGUGAAAUGCGUAGAGAUCUGGAGGAAUACCGGUGGCGAAGGCGGCCCCCUGGACAAAGACUGACGCUCAGGUGCGAAAGCGUGGGGAGCAAACAGGAUUAGAUACCCUGGUAGUCCACGCCGUAAACGAUGUCGAUUUGGAGGUUGUGCCCUUGAGGCGUGGCUUCCGGAGCUAACGCGUUAAAUCGACCGCCUGGGGAGUACGGCCGCAAGGUUAAAACUCAAAUGAAUUGACGGGGGCCCGCACAAGCGGUGGAGCAUGUGGUUUAAUUCGAUGCAACGCGAAGAACCUUACCUGGUCUUGACAUCCACAGAACUUUCCAGAGAUGGAUUGGUGCCUUCGGGAACUGUGAGACAGGUGCUGCAUGGCUGUCGUCAGCUCGUGUUGUGAAAUGUUGGGUUAAGUCCCGCAACGAGCGCAACCCUUAUCCUUUGUUGCCAGCGGUUCGGCCGGGAACUCAAAGGAGACUGCCAGUGAUAAACUGGAGGAAGGUGGGGAUGACGUCAAGUCAUCAUGGCCCUUACGACCAGGGCUACACACGUGCUACAAUGGCAUAUACAAAGAGAAGCGACCUCGCGAGAGCAAGCGGACCUCAUAAAGUAUGUCGUAGUCCGGAUUGGAGUCUGCAACUCGACUCCAUGAAGUCGGAAUCGCUAGUAAUCGUAGAUCAGAAUGCUACGGUGAAUACGUUCCCGGGCCUUGUACACACCGCCCGUCAC